AUAGUGGGUAUGAGAGCAUUGUAUGAGCUGAAAAAUGGCUUGUUUCAGUUUGUGAUUAAAUCCAACUAUUGAGGUGAAGUAGUACCAUAAAACGUAGUGUGUUUAGCUGAAUUUCCUGAGGGAAGUGAUUACCUGCAUCUUAUCAGAGUGUAGUAAACAUAACAGGGAGAGAGAGAUAAGGUAAACAUGAGACAUGCCCAGGCUCGGCCACCGACUGCUUUUCAACUAGAAAGUCAGCAGGCAAGAACCGGCUCUUGGUUUUGCUUGACAGAAGUCUGAUGCUGGUGUCAAACUGGUUACGCUGGCAGAAAAAAGGGUGGUAACGCAGGUGUCAAGUACUCUUGUUAUGCAUUGUAGCAACAGCAGGAGGGGAAGCCGACUUGCGCAAUGGUGAUACUGGUCUUUGCUAGAAGGAAAAAAAUUAAAUUCUCCUGAGAAUGAAGACAUGUUUAUUCUCUUCUGUGAUGGAGAACAAAUUGCCACCAACAGAUGAAAGAGCAAAUUAAAGUUAAGAUAAUUAGUGCAUCGGAGCUCUGAUGGUCGUGUAAAUUGAACAUCUGGUUUGGAUCUGCUUUUUUAUGGUGUUCUGCUGAGACCACUCAUCUGUCCCUGCUCUCCCUCCACACAACUUCAGCAGCUGGCUGACACAAAAAAUCCAUCAGCUCCAGUGCCAUGUACUGUCUCAAGAACUUGUAGGAAACCCAUUUGUGUUGGAUUUAAGAUUUGAGCUUACCAUUGGCUCUUCAGCUACCCUCCAGCUAGAAAUUGUGAUCCCUCUGGAUUUCAUAUGAAACAAAAAAGCUACAGCUCAGUCACUGAAUUUUCUGUAACUUCUGGACAUUCGUAUUGCUAUUUUUGGUGUAAGAUGCUCCAGAGCUACAUAGAAUUACUUUGUAUGAUUGUAAUAGCUGGUCACCAGUAAUAGAACUUGUGAUUAUUUCAUACAUCAUUAAAUGUUUAUUUUGUCUUAUUUUUCUUUGCAGAUGAACCUUUAUGCUUUCAACUAUCAGAAAAUUCAUGGAGCAAAUUUAUGUUCUUCUUUUCAUUUGUAACCUGCAUGGAAAGUCACCAAGUUUUUUUUUUUUCUAGGAGCAUGUGAAGCAGAAGUAUUUUCAAUGGCAGAUCAUUGUUCCUAUCCAUAUAUAUCAAGUGUGUUCUAGGUAAUAAAAUGAAAAAUAAAAGUAAAGGCAGUGAGAGUGAGCAAACUAUGUUUUAUGCAAUUUCUCCCUCAUACCAAUUUUGCUGAAAAUGGCCGCUGAUUUUUUUUUCAAAUGUUAGGAGAUUAUAUGCACUAUAAUUGUACUAGUUAUCUUCCUGUUGUUUUAUAAUCCUGGUGCAAUUACAGCAUAGUGAACAUGGAUAAUGUUAAUACUUAAAUAGUAACUGAACUUCUUGCUGCACGUUCAUUGUGCUUCUACUUCAGAUAAUAGUGCAUUGGAAUCAGAACCUUUGGUUACCUUUAUUUUGAAAUAAUUGCAUUAGGUAAUUAAAAAUCACUUAGCAUGCAAAAUCUUGAUGCAAUAUCUGGUACACUGUAAUAAGAUAUGUGUACCUACAGCUAAGGCUUAUCUUAUGAAUAUCUUACCUCUUGAAUGUAGAAAGACAGUAAUUACAUUUUGGAACACGUUCAUAGAACAAAAGAAUUUGUGUGUGUUUGGGAGACAGAAUUUAUCCUAAGUAUUUGGAAAUGUACUGCUGACUUAUAAGUUCACUCCUCACUUCCCAAAAAAAUCUACAAAAAAAAAAAAAACAAAAACAAAAAAAAACCCAACAACAGUAAUGGUGUACCUUUUUUCUUGAACAGUUUUAAUUCUGUGAGAUCAGUUGCAGUGCACCACGUGUUCUGUGCUGUUUUGCAAAAGAUUUAAGCCUUCAUCGUUUUGCUCUUUUUUGGUUAAGUUCCCUCUCGAUUCAUUUUUAAAUUCUUCAUGAAUGGAAGAUCAGCGGUGGGGGGAGAAUUCCUUGAUCAAAAUAUCAUUGGAUAACCUUGGUAUUAUAAUGCAAUGCAAAUUUAAUACUGUAUUAAUUAAAAUUACACACUGUCACAUUUCCUUCCUAGAAUGCUGAAAUACAUUAAUGUUCUUGGAAGUUUCUUUCUUAAGUUUCUGUACACAGAUUUUUUUCUCUCUCUCUUUUUCCCCAAGGUAAAUGCAUUUUCACCAGCCUUUCUGACUAUGCUAAGCCUGCUUCUUUUCACACAGUUUGGUUCCAUUGAAGACUUUCUUACUGGCUCUGCGUAUUUGACAGGGUGCAGAAACUGACCUUUGGGUGAACUUCUUGUAAUUUGCUUUCCUAUUUAUUAAUGAUUUGAGAUUUUGUAGAGACUUUGUAGCAGCAGAGUAGGAGACAAACAAUAACUUACGCCCUCAUUAAAUCCUCAGUAUUUCUUUUUUUAUUGAACUUUUCAGUAACUGGAAAGAACUAAGCUGUUGUUCAAUGUUACUGUAAUCAGAAUUGUCCUUCUUAAGUAACCAAAUGCCUACUGAACUUCUUAAUUUACUUUCAGUGAAAGGAUUACAUAGUGGCAUUAUUUGGAAUUGAGUGUAGUACCUAGCAAGCAUAUGUUUCUUUUCCCCCGAAAUGGCUUUUUUCCUUCUAGACUGCUCUGAUGGAAAGAAGUUUGCUUAUAUGUUUCAACAGUCCAGCGAAAGAUCUUUUUAAUCAGUUUUUAGUGCAGCUCAUUCAGUGCACCUCUGUUUCCUGUUGAUAACUCACUAUUUUGUCACUAACUUGAAAGUUCUGUAUGUAAACUUAUAUCAAAGGUUUUUAGAAUACUGCAUGAAAUUCUGGCGCUUGAUACUUUUUGGUGUACCCCCUUCACCACCCUUCUGAAAACGUAGUAUGUUUUGCUGAUUUCUGGAGUGGCUUUUAAAUGCUAUUUUUCUUUUCCCUUGUUUGUUUUCCUCACCUUCCUGCCCUCAUGUUUUAUCCUACAACACAGUGGUGUUUUUAUUUUUGAGCUUAUAUAGAUGAGACUUUACUGACCUUUUUUUAAUUUAAACAUUAAUAAAUUUAUGGACAUCUCUU